GACGAACGCUGGCGGCGUGGAUUAGGCAUGCAAGUCGAACGGUAUCAUCCUUUCGGGGGUGAGAGAGUGGCGAACUGGUGAGUAACACGUAGGUUAUCUACCCUCAAGACGGGGACAACCCAGGGAAACUUGGGCUAAUACCGGAUGUGAGCAACUUUUAGUUGUUUGAAAGGUGGCGUAAGCUGUCGCUUGGGGAUGAGCCUGCGUCCUAUUAGUUAGUUGGUGAGGUAACGGCUCACCUAGGCAAUGAUAGGUAGGCGGCCUUAACGGGUGGUCGCCCACACUGGGAUUGAGAUACGGCCCAGACUCCUACGGGAGGCAGCAGUCGAGAAUAGUCUACAAUGGUCGGAAGACUGAUAGUGCGACGCCGCGUGAACGAUGAAUCCCUUCGGGGUGUAAAGUUCUUUUAUAUGUGAGCAGUGCUUCUUAUAUUAAACAGUAUGGGGAGAGAGAUAUUAGCAUAUGAAUAAGCAACGGCUAACUCCGUGCCAGCAGCCGCGGU
rnacentral:rRNA from 1 species